rnacentral:rRNA from 1 species
UGGGGAAUAUUGCACAAUGGGGGGAACCCUGAUGCAGCGACGCCGCGUGAGCGAUGAAGUAUUUCGGUAUGUAAAGCUCUAUCAGCAGGGAAGAUAAUGACGGUACCUGACUAAGAAGCUCCGGCUAAAUACGUGCCAGCAGCCGCGGUAAUACGUAUGGAGCAAGCGUUAUCCGGAUUUACUGGGUGUAAAGGGAGCGUAGGCGGUCCUGCAAGUCUGAUGUGAAAGGCCGGGGCUCAACCCCGGGACUGCAUUGGAAACUGUAGGACUAGAGUGUCGGAGGGGUAAGUGGAAUUCCUAGUGUAGCGGUGAAAUGCGUAGAUAUUAGGAGGAACACCAGUGGCGAAGGCGGCUUACUGGACGACUACUGACGCUGAGGCUCGAAAGCGUGGGGAGCAAACA